rnacentral:rRNA from 1 species
UACAGAGGGUGCAAACGUUGCUCGGAAUCAUUGGGCGUAAAGUGCACGUAGGCGGCCUGUUAAGUCGGGUGUGAAAGCCCUGGGCUCAACUGGGGAGGGUCACGCGAUACUGAUCGACUGGAAGGCAGGAGAGGGUAGUGGAAUUCCCGGUGUAGUGGUGAAAUGCGUAGAUAUCGGGAGGAACACCAGUGGCGAAGGCGACUACCUGGCCUGUUCUUGACGCUGAGGCGCGAAAGCUAGGGGAGCAAACGGG